AAUAGGUAAUAGAUUUUCUACCCAAUUGUGGAUAGCAGAAGCAUUCGAAAGAAGAAGUUGAACAAACAAAAAAAAGAAAUAGUGAGAAUUUUCAGAAGCAAUAUUCCAAUGCAGCAGCUACAGCUUUGUACAACUACCUGGGGGCUCAUGAUGUGGGCGACAUGCUUUCAUUGCUAAGUUUCUUCAGUCUGCACAUCGGAACAUUUGUCCUCUCAAACUCUAAUUUUGACUAUCUUCUUUAUAUCAAAAUUAGUUUUUCAUAAGAGGAAUACAUAUAGUGGAAGAUAGAAAGCAUGCUUACUUAACUUCAAAGGUUGUUGUAGGAAGGUACUGAUUUUUCUCCAAUACUCCCUUUUCUCUUAAUACAUUACAGUUUUGAAGA